UCUUUCUUUCUUUCUUCUUCUCUGUUCUUCCUUUCCUUAUCUCAGUCAAUCUCAAAUUAGAGAUUUUGAUCGUGAAUCUUGUUCGAGUAAGCUUAGGAGUUCGGUAAUCAUUUGGUGUUAAAGUUGGUUUAAGUUUAUAUGAAGAAGGAAUGACGUAUCAAAGAGAAACAUAAAUGUCAGGGUUAGAGUGUAGUUCUUGAGAUGGAGUAAUCAACAGAAGAUUUGAGUUUCUGAUAGAUGAAGAACCAAUGGGUUUUAAGUAAUUGAAGAGGUGAAGCUUUUCUGAUAAAGAAUCGAAAAACAGUUAGUCUAUAUUAACAACGAAUGAUUCCAAGGAUUUACCAGUGGAUUGUGGAUUUCAAGUUAGGCGUGGCUUGGCAUCAAAUCAGUUUUCAGUAAUCAGAAGAAAAGGUGCGCUCGAAGAUAACCAUUUUGUGGCUUAAAGCUUUUAUCGUAUUAGUUUUCAGUAAUCAGAAUAAAAGGUGCGCUCGAAGAUAACCGUUUUGUGGCUUAAAGAUUUUAUCGUAUUAGAGAUGUUGCGUAGCUUUUGUAUAUGUAUAUUUUUGUUAAUCUGUAAAAUAACACAUUAUUAUAUUGAUAUCACUCGAGAUAUCUUCAUUUAUAUAA